rnacentral:lncRNA from 12 species
AUUUUUCCCUUCUUCUGCCCUAAAAAAAAAAAAUAAUAAAAUCCCUGGGAAUUCCCAGGAAACGGAAAAUCCAGCGGGGAGGGGAUUCCUUUUCCGAUAUUUCUUCAGGAUUCUGGAAAUCCAUUCCCAAAAUUCCAGGAAAUUCCAUUUUAUUCCCAAUCCCUUGUUCCUGGAAGGGGGAAAAUUCCCAAGGAAUAAAAACAAUCCUAAAUUAUUCCCAUUGGAAUAAAAGCCCCGGAGCUGCAGGCGCCGCUCAUCCCUGAAUUUCGCUUUUCCCUAAAUUUCGUUUUUCCCGGAAUUUCUUGGCACAGAGGGAGCAGAUGGAGGAGUUCUGGUUUUUGGGAAUUUUUUUCCAGUCCGGAUCCAUCUCAUUCCCAUUUUCCUGCUGUUUUUUGGGAAUUUUCCCCAGUUUUUCCAUCAUUCCCAUUUUCCUGCUCUUUUUUUGGGGAUUUAUCCCAGUUUUUCCAUCCCAGUCCGGAUCCAUCUCAUUCCCAUUUUCCUGCUGUUUUUUGGGAUUUUUUUCCUGUGUUUUUCCAUCUGGAUCAGUCUCAUUCCCAUUUUCCUGCUGUUUUUUUGGGAUUUUUUCCUGUGUUUUUCCAUCUGGAUCAGUCUCAUUCCCAUUUUCCUGCUGUUUUUUGGGGAUUUUUUCCCAAUUUUUCCAUCCCAGUCUGGAUCCACCUCAUUCCCAUUUUCCUGCUGUUUUCUGGGGAAUUUUUCCUGGUUUUUCCAGUCCAGAUCCAUCUAAUUCCCAUUUUCCGGCUCUUUUUUGGGAAUUUUUCCUGUUUUUUUUUCCAGUCUGGAUCCGUCUCAUUCCCAUUUUCCUGCUGUUUUUUUGGGGAAUUUUCCCCUUUUUUCUCUUCCUUCUCACGAAUCUCUUGGAUUCAAUUCAAUAAAAAAAUUCAAUUCAAUUCAAUUCAAAUAUUUCCUGCUGGAAAACACAACGGGA